UACGUAGGCAGCAAGCGUUGCUCGGAGUUACUGGGCGUAAAGGGUGUGUAGGCGGUUCUUUAAGUUUGGUGUGAAAUCUCCCGGCUCAACUGGGAGGUGCGCCGAAUACUGAGGGACUAGAGUACGGGAGAGGAAAGUGGAAUUCCUGGUGUAGCGGUGAAAUGCGUAGAUAUCAGGAGGAACACCGGUGGCGAAGGCGGCCUGCUGGGCAGUGACCGUAAGGUCUUAAAAGCUGACGCUGAGGCGCGACAGCGUGGGGAGCAAACAGG
rnacentral:rRNA from 1 species